rnacentral:rRNA from 1 species
GGGCGCGAUCAUACCAGCAUUAAUGCAUUGAAUUCCAGAAGUGAAGUGUGUUUGUGCGAGAAUAGUACUAGAAUGAAUGAAUUCCUGGAAAGUCCUCGUAUUGCAUCCC